rnacentral:rRNA from 1 species
GCAGCCGCGGUAAUACGUAGGGGGCAAGCGUUAUCCGGAUUUACUGGGUGUAAAGGGAGCGUAGACGGUAAAGCAAGUCUGAAGUGAAAGCCCGGGGCUCAACCCCGGGACUGCUUUGGAAACUGUUUAACUAGAGUGCUGGAGAGGUAAGCGGAAUUCCUAGUGUAGCGGUGAAAUGCGUAGAUAUUAGGAGGAACACCAGUGGCGAAGGCGGCUUACUGGACAGUAACUGACGUUGAGGCUCGAAAGCGUGGGGAGCAAACAGGAUUAGAUACCCC